CGCUUUAAUUGUCAGCUAAGUGGCGCACGGGUGAGUAAUAUAUAGGUAACGUGCCCUAGAGAGGGGGAUAACAGAUGGAAACGUCUGCUAACGCCCCAUAUGCCUUUAUCACAAAAGUGAGCAAGGGAAAUAUUUAUAGCUCUAGGAUCGGGCUGUACGGUAUCAGCUAGUUGGUGAGGUAAUGGCUCACCAAGGCAAUGACACCUAACUGGUUUGAGAGGAUGAUCAGUCACACUGGAACUGAGACACGGUCCAGACUCCUACGGGAGGCAGCAGUGGGGAAUAUUGCACAAUGGACGAAAGUCUGAUGCAGCAACGCCGCGUGGAGGAUGACACAUUUCGGUGCGUAAACUCCUUUUAUAUAGGAAGAUAAUGACGGUACUAUAUGAAUAAGCACCGGCUAACUCCGUGCCAGCAGCCGCGGUAAUACGGAGGGUGCAAGCGUUACUCGGAAUUACUGGGCGUAAAGAGCGUGUAGGCGGGUAAAUAAGUUGGAAGUGAAAUCCUAUGGCUCAACCAUAGAACUGCUUCCAAAACUGUUAACCUAGAAUGUGGGAGAGGUAGAUGGAAUUUCUGGUGUAGGGGUAAAAUCCGUAGAUAUCAGAAGGAAUACCGAUUGCGAAGGCGAUCUACUGGAACAUAAUUGACGCUGAGACGCGAAAGCGUGGGGAGCAAACAGGAUUAGAUACCCUGGUAGUCCACGCCCUAAACGAUGUACACUAGUUGUUGUGAGGCUAGACCUUGCAGUAGUGCAGUUAACACAUUAAGUGUACCGCCUGGGGAGUACGGUCGCAGGAUUAAAACUCAAAGGAAUAGACGGGGACCCGCACACGCGGUGGAGCAUGUGGUUUAAUUCGACUAUACGCGAAGAACCUUACCUGGUCUUGACAUAGAAAGAACUUUCCAGAGAUGGAUUGGUGCCUGCUUGCAGGAGCUUUCAUACAGGUGCUGCACGGCUGUCGUCAGCUCGUGUCGUGAGAUGUUGGGUUAAGUCCCGCAACGAGCGCAACCCUCGUCGUUAGUUGCUAACAGUUCGGCUGAGAACUCUAACGAGACUGCCUACGCAAGUAGGAGGAAGGUGAGGACGACGUCAAGUCAUCAUGGCCCUUACGACCAGGGCUACACACGUGCUACAAUGGGGUAUACAAAGAGCAGCGAUACGGUGACGUGGAGCGAAUCUCAAAAAUGCCUCCCAGUUCGGAUAGUAGUCUGCAACUCGACUACUUGAAGUUGGAAACGCUAGUAAUCG
rnacentral:rRNA from 1 species